CAUCUGGUCCAUGACAGAAAUCUCCCUCUUGUCCUCAAUGCCAGUGCCAGCUACAACCCCAAUGUUGGCCUUCACACUACAAUCAGGUUUUCAUGGCAUUGCCAAAUGGAUGGUCAGCCCUGUGACUGUGUGCCUAGGAUGUGGCCUGGUGUUGGAAAUGACACUGAAAUAAUUCCUCACACUGACCCUGUACUGAGGAUUGAGGGCCGACAUUUGACUGUAGGUCAGAAUUACUCCUUCACUGUGACCCUAGACUCAGACAAUGUGACUGGCAGCAACCACACUGUCUUGGUGACGGCCACUGGUGUUGUCAGCCUGCAACUGGA